rnacentral:lncRNA from 1 species
UUUACCUCUGCACUUAAGGAGAGUUCUUUAGAUAACAUUAGUGAAGAGAAAUGAGCAAUCACCCCAGCUCCAUCUCCCAGCUCAACCCGCAAAUCCUGGUCUGAAGGGAAGACAGGAUGGUGGUGAGGACAGGAAGUUCCCCAGAACUGCUUGAGAAGAUUCAAUGACUCUAGUCUCCACUGUUCAUUUUCUAUUUAUUGUAGGAAUUCUGUAACUCAGAUAAUACGGGCCAAGUGUAUCUACAUUGAUCAAGACUUUUUGACCUGGUUACAGUGGAUGGAUUCAAAUUGUGUGUCUGGCUUCCAUCACUAUGAGUGGAAGACUCAUCUGUAUUGUUCUUCUGUAACAACAAUUUCUCAUUUCCAUUGCGUGUGGAAUUCUACUGUGUGAUGGCUCUCGAUUCACCUAUUUCCCUAUUGAUGGGCAGGCUGACUGCUUCUAGUUCUCACAAUUCUGAGUGUUACUGCUAGGAGCAUCUCUGUGCACCUGCCUAUCUGAGACACUCUAUUGAUUAACAAUGCUCCACCUGGAAAUUCUUUGGCCCUGCUGAAAUGAACAUGGCAGAGGCAUAGAAUAGCCAUAGUCUCAACUUUAGUAGACUGUACAAAGCCAAAGAAACAGUGGCAGCCAUCUGGUGAUGUUGUCACUAAUAGUUCUUAUUGAUGUAAGAUGUCCACCUCCAGGAGGCCCCCGAUGGCGUGUCUCAAGGUAUAUGUGAAAGUUCUUGUCAGUAGGAUGACUUGACUCUGCCUGUUUGUGAUCAAAUCCUUCAGGAAGAUGGUUUAUAGUUUGGAUUAAAACCACCUUUCAUUUGUUUUCUACAACUUGACCAGUAACGUUUAUGUCUUGCAUAGACUAGUGAGAAAAUAAAAUCCAUUUGACUUGCGGCAGACACAGGCGUGAAAAGCACAGGCGUUUGACAACGUGGACUUCUGUAACAAUUUGAGAACCUCUAGGGCCCUCCUCUCUCUAUAUAUAUAUAUAUACACCCUUUGUCAGAAUAAAGGAUUUGGAAAUAA